rnacentral:rRNA from 1 species
UACGAAGGGGGGCUAGCGUUGCUCGGAAUCACUGGGCGUAAAGCGCACGUAGGCGGAUUGCUAAGUCAGGGGUGAAAUCCUGGAGCUCAACUCCAGAACUGCCUUUGAUACUGAGGGGCUUGAGUCCGGGAGAGGUGAGUGGAACUGCGAGUGUAGAGGUGAAAUUCGUAGAUAUUCGCAAGAACACCAGUGGCGAAGGCGGCUCACUGGCCCGGUACUGACGCUGAGGUGCGAAAGCGUGGGGAGCAAACAGG